GAUGAACGCUGGCGGCGUGCCUAAUACAUGCAAGUCGAGCGAACAGACGAUGAGCUUGCUCCUCUGACGUUAGCGGCGGACGGGUGAGUAACACGUGGAUAACCUACCUAUAUGACUGGGAUAACUUCGGGAAACCGGAGCUAAUACCGGAUAAUAUAUUGAACCGCAUGGUUCAAUAGUGAAAGACGGUUUUGCUGUCACUUAUAGAUGGUUCCGCGCCGCAUUAGCUAGUUGGUAAGGUAACGGCUUACCAAGGCGACGAUGCGUAGCCGACCUGAGAGGGUGAUCGGCCACACUGGAACGGAGACACGGUCCAGACUCCUACGGGAGGCAGCAGUAGGGAAUCUUCCGCAAUGGGCGAAAGCCUGACGGAGCAACGCCGCGUGAGUGAUGAAGGUCUUCGGAUCGUAAAACUCUGUUAUUAGGGAAGAACAAAUGUGUAAGUAACUAUGCACGUCUUGACGGUACCUAAUCAGAAAGCAACGGCUAACUACGUG
rnacentral:rRNA from 1 species